rnacentral:rRNA from 1 species
GAGCGGCGUACGGGUGCGGAACACGUGUGGCAACUUGCCUUUAUCUUGGGGGAUAGCCUUUCGAAAGGAAGAUUAAUACCCCAUAAUAUGUUGAAUGGCAUCAUUCGANGAUUUGAAAACUCCGGUGGAUAGAGAUGGGCACGCGCAAGAUUAGAUAGUUGGUGAGGUAACGGGUCACCAAGUCUACGAUCUUUAGGGGGCCUGAGAGGGUGAUCCCCCAAACUGGUACUGAGACACGGACCAGAUCCUACGGGAGGCAGCAGUGAGGAAUAUUGGACAAUGGGUGAGAGCCUGAUCCAGCAUCCCGCGUGAAGGACGACUGGCCUAUGGGUUGUAAACUUCUUUUGAUAGGGAUAAACUAACCUCGUGAGGGUAGCUGAAGGUACUAUACGAAUAAGCACCUGGGUAACUCCGUGCCAGCAGCCGGGUAAUACGGAGGGUGCAAGCGUUAUCCGGAUUUAUUGGGUUUAAAGGGUCCGUAAGCGGAUCUGUAAGUCAGUGGUGAAAUCUCACAGGUUAACUGUGAAAUGGCAUUGAUACUGGAGGUCUUUGAAGUGUAGGGAAGUAACUGGGAAUAAGUAGUGUAACGGUGAAAUGCUA